rnacentral:rRNA from 1 species
GACGAACGCUGGCGGCGUGCCUAAUACAUGCAAGUAGAACGCAGUUGCGAGCGGGAGAGUAAGGCGUAGUUAACUGCCAGGGAGCGGGGAAUAACAAAUGGAAACGAUAGCUAAUACCGCAUACAACCAGAUGGACCUGCGUUGUAUUAGCAAGAUGGUGAGGUAACGGCUCACCAAGGCAACGAUACAUAGCCUAACUGAGAGGGUGAUUGGCCACACGUGGACGUAGAAACGCCCCCGAUUUCUACGGGAGGAAGCAGUAGGGAAUCUUCGGCAAGUGGGGGAACCCUGACCGCUCAACGCCGCGGGAAUGAAGAAGGUUUUCGGAUCGUAAAGCUCUGUUGUUAAGGAAGCGGUACUUAACCAGAAAGGGACGGCUAACUACGUGCCAGCAGCCGCGGUAAUUC